GGCGAGGUGGCCGAGUGGUUAUGGUAAGCUCAUUCACUCCAUCUUGGCUUUGGAGAAACAUCGUACUAACAGAUUCGAAAGGCGCUAGUUUCAGGUAAUACCUACUAGUGGGAAACCGCGUGGGUUCGAGUCCCACCCUCGUCA